rnacentral:lncRNA from 1 species
AAUGAUUUGAUGUUCCUGAGUCUGUGAUCCAAGUGUUUGAUAAAGGAUUUCAGUUACCUGAAAAACCCAUGGCAGCUAAAACUUGGGCAAGUUAUUGGAGUGUAGUUGAGUCAAUAGAGUGAAGAUUUGGUAUGGAUACAUGGGUAAUAGAUAUGGAGUCAGAAUGAGAGUGAUUGAAAGUGGCAUCUUCCAUGCUUGUGGGACUAAGAAUGGAGGCGAUUGCAGUCCAUUGAGUCUGACUACUAGGUACAUGAGGCUUCCCAUGUGCCUAAGGGCCUUUUCGACAAUCAUUUAUUACAUGUUUGAGCUUCUUACAAUAAUUGCAAAAAAUACGCUUCGUACACCGAUUGGCCAUGUUCCCUCUUUCUUUGCAUAUGCAACGUUGCACUUGGACAUAAUUGUUAUCUUUGUUAAGAAAAUUGGAUGUGGCUAAGGCCACAUCAAUGACAUCUUGUGAUGUGGAUUUGCAAACCCCAAGAGAGCUUAAGCAAGUUUCUUCAGCAAGGAGGCAAUCAUCUAAUGGUGGAGUGGGAGUACAAUGAGGGAUUGAUGCUCUCAUGCUUUCAAACUCCAAUCGCAACCCCAUAAGGAAGUGAAAUAAAUGAAACUGAUUUCAUACUUUAAUAAGCUUCAGUGGGUGGCUAUGUCUCCAUCGAGUCCAUCUCAUUCCAUAUACCUGAAAGAGUAUUAAAACAAUCUUGAAUUGAUGAGUCCCUUUAUUGUAUCUUCAUGCUCUCUUGUUCAAGGGUAUACAGAUAGGCAGUGUUUGCUUGAGAAUAAAUCUUCUGUAAGUAAUCCCAUAUUGUUUUGGCACUAGAUUGAUACGUGAGGUUGCCCCAAUUUUGGGCUCAACUGAGCUCAUAAUCUAUGCCCUAAUAGAGCUAUCUAUAGCAAGCUAAUCACUACGCUCAUUCUUGUCUUUAGGCUAGAGAACAAAACCAUCAAUAUAGCCCCGUACUUCCGUCCUAGAAAAAAAUGUCUCAUUUGGAAAGGCCACAAGCAGUAGUUUUUCCCAUCAAGAUGCACAUAAAUAACAGCACUCUCUGUAUUACUUUUACACUACAUAGAUGGGUUUUUUUUUUUUUUUGAGACAAUUUCUCUCUAGAAAAAUUGGCAAAGGAAAAGCGAUCAAUUGGAGGAAGCAAUGGCAAUUAAUUUUAGAUACCACAAGAAAAAAUUUGCUUUGACCAUAUCUUUCAUAACUUUUAUAUAAAGAAAAAUUGAUAGUUUCAAUAGAAGAUUGUUGUUGUGGAAGGGCACAACAGCUUGCAUAAGCAUUACAAAGGAACGUAAAAAAAUUUUAAAAAAAAUUGCAUGCACAAAGUGAUCAAUUGUCUAGGGUUGCAAAGAGAUUUUGCAAAGCAAAUUUUGCAAGAAUCAUCUAUUAAAGAGAUUUGCAAGGCAAAUCUUUGCAGCGAAGAUUUGGAACGGAAAGCAUUCGAUGUUAAAAAGUUGAUGCUUUGCGAGAAAAAGAUUUGCAUAGGAGAGUUGGAAAUUUUGCAGUGAAGGUUUACAUAGUUUGCAAGGCAAAGCUUUACGAAACAAAUUUUGAUGCAGACGGCCCAAACUUGGCGAGGUAAAUUUUGACGGAGAAAUUUUGCCGAAUAAUUUUUUAUGGGUAAAUUUUGCAAGGGAAAAAAAGAAUAGACCAUGGAUGAUCAGGCAAAGUAAACAAAAGAUGAAAAUUAAGAUGUCCUCAAAGAAAAUAAAAUUUAUCUAAUUACUGACCUUCACAAAAAGCGCGAUCUAUGAGCAGCAACAGAUAAGAGAUUAUCAUAUCCUUAUGGCUUUGAUACCAUAUUAAAUUUAGAGAAGAUGAAAAGCUGAGGAAUAGUCUAGAGAGAGAAACAAUCUCGG